AUACGUAGGGUGCAAGCGUUAAUCGGAAUUACUGGGCGUAAAGCGUGCGCAGGCGGUUUUGUAAGACAGUGGUGAAAUCCCCGGGCUCCACCUGGGGACUGCCAUUGUGACUGCAAGGCUGGAGGGCGGCAGAGGGGGGUGGAAUUCCGCGUGUAGCAGUGAAAUGCGUAGAUAUGCGGAGGAACACCGAUGGCGAAGGCAAUCCCCUGGGCCUGCACUGACGCUCAUGCACGAAAGCGUGGGGAGCAAACAGGAUUAGAUACCCUGGUAGUCCACGCCCUAAACGAUGUCAACUGGUUGUUGGGGAUUUAUUUUCUCAGUAACGAAGCUAACGCGUGAAGUUGACCGCCUGGGGAGUACGGCCGCAAGGUUAAAACUCAAAUGAAUUGACGG
rnacentral:rRNA from 1 species